AUGUGGUACCUUGUACACCAGCACCCUGGACUGGUCCUGCUCCUACUGAGGUCAAUGGUAAAAUUCCGCUGUUUUCAGAUGUUGGCUGAUUGAUCCACAAAUCCCUAAUGCUUAACCAAAGUGGUGAGAAAGGAUUUGACAAGAUUCAAAGUGGAACUGGAGAUUUAUAUGGCCUGAUAGCUCAGAAUCUGUUGGUCCAUUGUUUUCCUGUGAGUCCCAAGCUGAGUACGCUGUGUUUCCCCUGCAAGAAUUUAUCAUAUCACGAGCACCUCAAGCAGAGCAAAGAGUGCAGGAAACAGCUCUACUCGAGGUGUCGGGGAUGUCGCUAACUGUUUCUGAGAAAACACAGAACCCUGAACUCAAGUCUUGGCAGAGAUCUCCAGAUCCUUGCAAGAGAGGAAGAGCUUAGCAGAACAAGAAGGAAGGAGCCUUGCUUCAAUCCAUCACGUGUGUGAUCUCUGUGUCUGGCCAGACUGGUUAUAGCAGAAGAGUCCUGCCAGAAUACGUCAGCGUUCAGGUUACACACAUAGAAGGAAACAAGAUGUACUUACCAAGAACUGGACAUAACGGGGAAGGAGAGCAAAGAGUCUCCACUGUGCCGGGCUGGCUGAGCAACACUGGCAGAGCAAGCAGUCACCUAGGGCAGCAACACUGCCUAAGGCAAUGAGUGGGUGACUCAUGGUGCAUAAUUUCCACUUUGCCCAGAGUUGCCCAGAGCCAGUGCUGCUGCUCUUGCUGCUGCAUGGUAGGAAACCAGACGCAGAAGUAACCAGAUCAUACCAAUCACUUUCACUAUGGAGGGCCUACAUGAUGCAAGGAAUAAAUCCCUGAACAGCCAAGCCUGGGUGUGGGAGGGAUCCUCAAUCAGCUCCUAAGGAGAGUAGCAAGGCUUAUAGUGUUAGCUCAGCAAAGUAUCAUAUCGUGCAUCUUGAGGAUCUCAAAGAGCUUUACAAACCCUGAUUAAUUAAUUAAGCCCCAUACAACCCAAGUAAGUAUCACUCCUCAAAUUGUACAGAUGGGGAAACUGAGGCUCAGAGAGGUGAUCUGAUUUGACUGGGAUCACCCAAUGGCCAAGUGGGAAAUAGAACUCAGAAAUGCUGAGUCCCUAUCCCCUGCUUUCCCCACCAGACCAUGAUGUUUUGGGGUUAAGGUCAUGCUGAUGAUGGCUGUGACAUUCCAUUCCAUAUUUCUUAUGAAAAUAUGCUUAUGAAUAUGACAUAACUGAGAUGUACUUUAUGCAAGAUGGGUCCUGUAAGGUAUCACUGGAAAGGUUAUGAUUUACUGAAUGUGAUUAUCCAAUUUGUAUGCCUAUAUCAUUUUUGUAUCUGAAGUUAGAAAUAUGGACUAUGUAACUAUUACACUGGGUAUGUACUGGGAAGACACCCACCAGAUGACAGGCCAUCAGAUUUGAUGGGCCAUCAGGAAGGAACAACAGGACCAUGUCAGGGACCUAACUGUGACACUAUUAGGUCAGGUGGUCUUGUCACCUGAUACUAAAUAUUACCUGGGAUUGCUUGUAACUUUCCACUGGAAGGGGAGGGGGGGUCAAGUUUGGAAAACAAAGGAUCCCCGCCUUAUUUAAAUCCUAUUUAAGGAUGGGGAGGAAGGCAAAUGGGACCCCUCCUCUCCAUGGCCUGUCUGCCAAUGAAGAAAGACUGCUAGAGCACCUGAAGAGAAGAUGGGGGGUUGGAUUCCAGACCGAGAUGGGGGUCGAGUUUGAAAAGGCAUAUAACUGGAACUCUGAACCACAGAAACUUUGCAACCUGCCUAAAAUAACAUUUAGGGAAGGAAAUUACAUUUUGUGACCUAUUUCUUAAGUAUAUUGAACUUAGCUUGUGUACUUUGUUUUAUUUGCUCGUAAUCUGCUCUGUUCAGUCUGUUAUCUCUUAUAGUCACUUAAAAUUCA